GAUGAAGAACGCAGCGAAAUGCGAUAAGUAAUGCGAAUUGCAGAAUUUCCGUGAGUCAUCGAAUCUUUGAACGCACAUUGCGCCCACUGGUAUUCCGGUGGGCAUGCCUGUUCGAGCGUCAUUAUCCUCCCUCAAACCCCGGGUUUGGUGUUGGACCCAAGUUGUGUGAACAACUGGUCUCAAAGACAAUGACGGCGUCCGUGGGACCCUCGGUGCAACGAGCUUUUAGGAGCACGCAUCGAGUUGCAAGGACCUUCCGGGCCGGUCUCCUUUACCAUUUUUCAAGGUUGACCUCGGAUCAGGUAGGAAUACCCGCUGAACUUAAGCAUAUCAAUAAGCGGAGGA
rnacentral:misc_RNA from 1 species